rnacentral:rRNA from 1 species
GCGGAUUUUAUUAGUAAAGCCUUCGGGCGCGAAAGGAUCGGGCUGCGGCCUAUUAGCUUGAUGGUGGGGUAAAGGCCUACCAUGACUACGAUGAGUAGCUGGUCUGAGAGGAUGAUCAGCCACACUGGAACUGAAACACGGUCCAGACUCCCACGGGAGGCAGCAGUUGGGAAUAUUGGACAAUGGGGGAAACCCUGAUGCAGCAAUCCCGCGUGAGGGACGAAGGCCCUCGGGUCGUAAAGCUCUUUCAGCAGGGAAGAAGGGAAACUUGACGGUACCUGCAGAAGAAGCACCGGCUAACUACGUGCCAGCAGCCGCGGUAAUACGUAGGGUGCAAGCGUUGUUCGGAAUUAUUGGGCGUAAAGAGCGUGUAGGCGGCCUGUUAAGUCUGAUGUGAAAGCCCGGGGCUUAACCCCGGAAGUGCAUUGGAUACUGGCAGGCUAGAGGACGAGAGAGGGAAGUGGAAUUCAUGGUGUAGGGGUGAAAUCCGUAGAUAUCAUGAGGAACACCGGAGGCGAAGGCGGCUUCCUGGCUCGUAUCUGACGCUGAGACGCGAAAGCGUGGGUAGCAAACAGGAUUAGAUACCCUGGUAGUCCACGCCCUAAACGAUGGAUACUAGUCGUUGGAUUUCCUAAUAGAUUCAGUGACGAAGCUAACGCGUUAAGUAUCCCGCCUGGGGAUUACGGUCGCAAGAUUAAAACUCAAAGGAAUUGACGGGGGCCCGCACAAGCGGUGGAGCAUGUGGUUUAAUUCGAUGCUACGCGAAAAACCUUACCUGGACUUGACAUCCCGGGCUACUCUGGGAAAGCAGGGGUUUCUUCGGGAGACGCAGUGACAGGUGCUGCAUGGCUGUCGUCAGCUCGUGUUGUGAGAUGUUGGGUUAAGUCCCGCAACGAGCGCAACCCUCGUCGUUAGUUACCAGCAUUAAGUUGGGCACUCUAACGAGACCGCUAGGCUAUAAGCCAGAGGAAGGUGGGGAUGACGUCAAGUCCUCAUGGCCUUUAUGUCCAGGGCUACACACGUGCUACAAUGGGAACUACAAAGCGUUGCUAACUUGCAAGAGUGUGCUAAUCGCAAAAAAGUUUUCUCAGUUCGGAUUGGAGUCUGCAAUUCGACUCCAUGAAGUUGGAAUCGCUAGUAAUCGUGGAUCAGCAAUGCCACGGUGAAUACGUUCCCGGGCCUUGUACACACCGCCCGUCACACCACGGGAGUUGGUUGU